AAUAUAUACAUAAUAUUUCGGCUGUGUCUGGCGGUGUCCGGCGGUAAAAAUACCCACCCCAUUUCGUCAAUAUCUUUCUGUGGGAGGAAACCGGAGUACCCAGAGGAAACCCACGUGUCCGAGCGGGCGACCACCAUACCCUCUCACAUACAACCACUGCCGAUCACGGGGAUCGAACUCGGGUCGCAGCGGUGAGAAGUAUAUAACUAAAUAUGAUAAUGCAAAAGACAUGACCUAUAUUGAAUACCCUCUCCUUAAACUUAUUCAUUACAUGUAAUGUGAUGAAUUAAUUUGUACCUAUUAUUUGAUUGUAAUCAGUAAGUUCAAUUUAGUAUCUAUAAUCUUAUUCAAAUAAUACUUUUAUAAAUAAAAAGUUCAUUAUUCUUGUCCAGUUGCUAAAUAAUUCUAUCUUUAUUGAAUAAGAUAGCUGUUAUUCAUGAAUAAAUGUUAAAGCAGUUUCAUAGCACUGUACCAAGAAGGGAGAAAAUGCAACGGACAUGACCGGGAUUCAAACCCGGGCCCCCUGAAUCUCUAGUCAGGUGCUCUACCAACUGAGCUAACUGGCCACCGGCGAUCUAACCCGGCUGACCGCUACAGCACUAUUGUAAUUGCAUACAUAAACAUAAAAGGGGGAGGGGGUGUCUCAUGACUGUUUCACCAUCUUUUUGUUACAAAAUGCACACAACCCUGCAAUUUUUUUUUAUUACUCAGCUAUUGAAUUAACUCCUAUUAAUCCCUUAUACGAUUCAGUUGCAGGGUUUCCUUUUAGAAUUUUUCAUAUAAUUAAACAGAAGCUAGAAACACUUGAGAAAAGCUUUAAUUUCUAACAGAAUCACUUCUUUUAAAUUCAAGCGAUAAAUUAAUGAUCUGUGUAUUUGUGUCUUUAUAAAAUCAGAAGUUGUUCCCAUCCUGAUCAUGGUCUAUGCGUUUGACAACAACUAUGACUUCGUACAGUAAUACAAUUCAAUACUAAUCAGCUGAUCAAGGAUUUAUAGGUUAACGCUAUUUGGUACCGCUUGCAGGGCGGUGACCACGAGUUACCUGCCCCUAUACAAUGAGUUAAGUGCCCCUGUAUUUCAUCUGUUAAGUUGUACUUAAAAUAGGCUAACUCUUGCGCAAAAAAAGAUAGAAAAUAUCAAAUAUGGGAAAGCGGGACGAUAGACCAAACAUAUCUACGAAGAGACCGUUGGUGCCGGAAAUAUCUCUGUCUUUAGUAGUGUCCGCGAGGUAUAUUAAUUUAUAAAACAUGAGAUAUCUAAAUAAAGUACCAUAUUGCCCGGGAAUCAAAAGAUUUUUGCAAGAUCGGUAAGUAUAUUCAAUAUAGGCUAAACAAGCACAAGGCCAGGGCACGUGGUAAGUCAUUCCGCAGCGCAGGAAUGACCAAAACUAGCCUACUACGGUACCAUUUACAGAAAUUACCAAAAAAAUGACAAAAAUUACCAAGAGAGGAGCUAAAAUGACCUCAGUAAUACAUGACAUCUACUAUCAUAUUCACAUUAAAAAUUUUGGUCCCUCCAUUGACAACUUCAAUAAUUUUUAAUUUCGGUCAUAUCUUUGGUAUUUUCUGUGAACGUUUGUAAUUUCGGACAUUAUAUUUAACAAUCCUACUAUUCAUUCCACAAUGAAGGCCAGUGGGCCUAGAUUUUUAAUUUGAUACACGUAUAAACUUAACACUGCGCAAGUUACGUCACGGAAUGCAGUAUAGGGGAGGAGAAAAUAUUUGGCUGGACCAGGAGUCGAACCUAGGAUCCCUGCAUUACUAGUCAGGUGCUCUAACCACAGAGCUAUCCAGGUCGAUAUCCACGGUCCGUGUAGCCCUAACUACUAAAUUCCUCCCUUUAAUUUGUCUUUGCCGUCGAAGACACACAACCCAGAUUCAUUUCACCCCUGGCAGGACAAGAGUGGUCACGGCACCAACUGGUAAAAUCUUGCACAGAGGUCCCUAGGUUCAAUUCCCGAUCCAGCCACAAAUUUUCUCCGUGUAUGUCUAUCUGAGACUGAGUUGGAAAAUUACGGUAUCUUCAUAGUGACAAACUAAUGAAAAUAUUGAUCAAAUUCGACUGGUCAAGGACUGUUAAUAUAAAUAAAUUUGAAACAUUGGUCAUUGUAAUGAUUGGGUUCAUGUUAUACUAAGCUUGUGUUUCAAGACAAGGCUGUCUUUGUUGGUGAUGAUACUGAUGUAUAUAUUUAGAAACAAGUAAUGCUUUGAUUUUGAUUACAGAUGUGUUCUUUAAAAAAAUUAAUGCAUGGCAAGGUUGAUAGUGAGACUAAUAAAUUCUUUCAGCAGAAUUCAGCUAGACACCAAAAAAAAGACAAUCACUACAGCCUUCCAAGAAGAUGGACUGCCUCACAAUAGUUUCCUUGAGGACUGUCUUGAAAUAUCCAGAGUUUAAGAUUCAAGAAACGGACUCUAUCUGGAAAAGGAAAACAAUAUCAAAGCUCCUCUGUGAGAAAUUGGCCAAGGAAAGCAUUCAGAAGAAAGUGGAGAUUCAUUGUUUUUACCAGAUCCAGCAGAUCACAGAAAGCAUCUAGGAGGGGAGGUCUACAGAUCGAAGCAUGCCAAAUGUGUAAAGAACAAGUUUCCAGGAUUAAGCCAGCCAGUAGAUGAGACUAUCAUAUCAAAAAUACAUUUACUUGUACACGAGGGCACACAAAGUGUUGAUGAAACAAAAAGACAUUUCCGUCUGUUUGUAAAGGAUACUAUUUCACCAGGGAACACCAUCUCAGAAUUUAACAGAUGCUUUUACCCCGCCAAUAAGGAUGUAAGAAAUCACAUUUACAGGGCACCGAGAUUUUGCCAGGUAGUUUAGAACUGUGUGCAUUGGUUUUGGAAGAAUUUGGGCUGUUUAGGCUAAAAUCCAUUAUGUAACAGGUACCAGAUUUUAUAAAGUACCCUCCCUCUAACAGGUACCAACUUACAAAGCACACUUC